ACUAACGGCUGCUACAACCACGAAUCCUACUCUGGACCAGAAGCUUCCAGAGCAUGACCAGAGCGGAUUCGGAAGCUCCGCAACACGCAUCCCAAAUCCCCCGAAUCCCGACGCCCACCUGAACCCAUUCGCGCGGACCCGUGGUGGCGGCCCCAGGCAGCGUGGUGCAUGACGUACACUUACCUCCCGAUAUCCUAAAGGCAUGGUCAUCCUGUCCCACUGUUUUUUUCACGAAUCUGAGAUUCUUGGCUGUUGGAGUUUGCUAUUUUUGCCUGUUCUUGCAAUGCUGUCACCUUCGUUGCGUGGUCUAGAAGACGUUCCUUUUGCCCAGUAUGAAUGGCAGAGCUGCCGUCGCUUUCUUUUUGAAACUGUUUGGCAGUCCGUGUGGUCUGUACAUGGGUCCUAUGUACAAGACGGCGAUAGGCUCCCCUGGUUCCAGAUUCAGCCAUGGAUAAGAGAACUCGCCUUUAAUUUCCCACUCUCCCAAAACACAACCCAAAUGUCGCUUUGAGGACACAGUCCAACCUGCAUGCCCUCUCCCCUUAAAGUAUUCUUAUGGGCCAAUACUAUAUGGAAAUUAGAAUAAUAAGUGGCAAUUCGACAAAAUCUUUGAUCUCUCAUUAGUCCAAGCAACAAGCAUCCAUAUAUUUGACCAUACAAUUAACAUAUGCAAAUCCACUGUUCUUUCCACUGCUCAGCAGAAUACAAUUGUUGAUAGGCUGACAUGGAUAGGCUCCAUAGCAGCCUCGUAAGUUCCAGCCAUCCCCAAGUCAACAUCUGAAGCUGUUGUGGCAUUAGAAAUAGCCCCCAUCUUUUUUAAGUGGGAGCCAAGCAACAUGUAAAUUUAAAUGUGUUGCGACUCAUCAUAACAAUGGUCUGCUCUAGCUAAGCACUAUGCCAUCUUACACAUUAUGUAAACCCCUCUGAAAGUUAAAAAAAUAAUAGUCCACCAUUGUUAACGCUUCACGGUGCAAUAUCAUGCCUCUCUUCACUAUUCAGUUUUGACACAAUACAUUGCAAGUGUCGACCUAGCUGGAACAUACCAAGUGUGGGGUUUCAGUUCUGGAGUGCAUGUGCUUUUUUACCCAAUCGAUGAUAUUGUGGCAGGUUAACCCAUUCUUUCGGUUGAACAAUCGAUGUUCGAGUGUGUGCUUGUGCAUGCUAUGUGGGCUGCUUUUUCGGAUGCAGUCAAGCCUGUUUUCCUUUUCCCCUGGAUGCCUGCAACCUGUAGCUGAUCCAGCCAUGUCCUACCUAUAGGUCCUUGUUGUAUUUCUUUUCUUUUUCCUCUACUUGAAAUUAUAACAGCUUUCAUUUUUUCUGAGCCCACUAAAUAGAGUUAGAACGUGUGCUGGCGCAUGCUUCUAUCUGAUAUACAUGUAGGUGUUGAUAUAUUCACACAUGUAUACAUAUUACAUGGAAAAUAUGGAAACACACAUACAAGAGAUAAUGUGCUUUGCAAACAAUCCAAUCAUGCAUGUGUGUGGUUGUUUAACCUUUUUUCUUUUGCUGAACCACGUCGUACCUAAGCUCCUUACUGUAUUUCUUCUCUACCUUCUCUAGAUGAAAUCCAUGCCAGCUUUCAUUUUUUGUACUGGGCCUAUGGAAUGGAGUUCGAACGUGUCCAGAUAAUGUGAGGUGCAGUCAACCUAAUUAUGCAUGUGGUUGUUUAUCCUUUACUAACUUUUCUUAUAUUAAGUCAGAUCCUUAGUACCCUGGUAUUCAAACUGAGAUGUAAGAGCAUCAGCCAAGAAGCUUGAUCAAGAGCCGCAUCAGCUGGACCGCGUCCUUCGACAUUAGUAAAAAGAAAUAAAUGCAUUAUUUGUACUAUAUUUCCCAAAUAACUUGCAUAUUUACAGUUCACACCAACAACUAAUAAGAAAGGCAAAGAUCCAAUAUAUACAUUUUUAUCACAGCCCGAAAGGUCACGUUCUCUAACACAAUCCCAAUCAUAUACAUUUCUUUUUAAGUGAACAUUCACUUGAUAUGGUCUAUUUCCUAAAUACCACAAUGAUAUGAUUCAAGUUUUUAAAUUCAUUUACUUAAAUGAUAGCAAUGCUACUUUCUGUACAUAUGUUUCUUUGAGAUACAUUUUCAUCUUCAUGUACAAUUAUUAUUACUACCUUUCAAAACCUACUUACAUACUUAUCCAAUAGGCAAUACAUCUUACAAUUCGUGCUGCUACACUUAGGUAUUGAUGUGCUUUGUCUUAGUUUCCUAACAAAUACCUAUCAACCCUCUUUUAUCUUUGAUGUACCCUACAAAUUUAAUGUUUCUAUAUUUUAUUUAUGAAUCUGACAUCAUAUUAUAUCUUAAUCAUGUGUAUGUGCACGUGCGUGUGUUUCUAUACACAGACACUGAAAGAGUUGGCACUCUUUACUCUUAGAUCAAUAUCAUGUCUUCGUCUCCUUUUAGUCCACUACCAAAUCAAUGCUAUAGACUUAAUGAAGCUAGUCUUAUUACUAUUGGUUUUGCUGCACAUAGUUUGGAUUAAAACAAAAAACAUGCAUCAUUGAUAUAUACGACAAUGUGUUAAUAUUUACGACAAUGCUCUCCUAAUUCGAUCUAUCAGAGUUAACAAACAUUAUUGAUUCUCUUACUCACAGAUUGUUGACAAACACAAUGUUCAGUCUACCAACAAUGAUUUGCCAUCACCACCAAAAACGAUGAAGCACACCCAGGCUAGCUAAGUCAUACCAGAUUAUACAUGUUCCAAUGUGACAACGGCUAGACCAUCCUCAAACACAUGAAGGCAUAACACUAUUUAAGAUGCUUUGUAUACCGUUUUCAUAUUAUCUUUGGCAAACGAUUCAGGCAAAACUAACAUACUCCUCUCAUCUAUAUACAGGUUUCAGUUUUUGUAAGCAUAGAAAAAGCUUCAUCACUUUUGGAUAUGGAAGACUUUUGUGUACAUAGACAUCCAUGUUGUUGAAGCAUUCUGAAAACUGUGCUUGCUUAUGCAAACUUUACUCACGAAUUAUUACUAGAUAUAGAAGUAUGCUACUUUAAUGCAGCUCGGUACGUAUUGUGACAUGUUUGCCUUAUAACUCUGAACUCUACAAGUUCCCAUACUAGAUCUUGGAAUACGCGACAUGAACAUGAACAAUAGUUGUAAUUUAGUUUUGUGUAUGCUCUCUGUAUUCUCUAGUACAUUACAUCAUCUUUUUGGCAA